UACAGAGGGGGCCAGCGUUAUUCGGAAUUACUGGGCGUAAAGCGUGCGCAGGCGGCUUUGCAAGACAGAUGUGAAAUCCCCGGGCUUAACCUGGGAACUGCAUUUGUGACUGCAUGGCUGGAGUGCGGCAGAGGGGGAUGGAAUUCCGCGUGUAGCAGUGAAAUGCGUAGAUAUGCGGAGGAACACCGAUGGCGAAGGCAAUCCCCUGGACCUGUACUGACGCUCAUGCACGAAAGCGUGGGGGAGCAAACAGG
rnacentral:rRNA from 1 species